GGCUGGCAUUUUUGGGAAUUUGUGGGUAGGAAUCCAUUCCUUGACUGGCAUUUCUGGGAAUUUGCCCACAUGAGUAGGAAUCCAUUCCUUGGCUGGCAUUUUUGGGAAUUUGUGAGCAGGAAUCCAUUCCUUAACUGGCAUUUUUUGGGAAUUUGUGAGCAGGAAUCCAUUCCUUGACUGGCAUUUUUGGGAAUUUGCCCAAGUAGGAAUCCAUUCCUUGGCUGGCAUUUUUGGGAAUUUGUGAGUAGGGAGGGAACACCCCUGCAGGUCUCCAUGGGGAUGUUUUAAUUAAUGAAUCCAUUAAUUUAUUAAUUAAAUUGUGCUUCCCUUGCAGUGCAUCUCAUCUAUGGGCCCCUGGACCCUGUGAAUCCACACCCAGAGUUCCUCCAGCUUUACAGGAAGGUGCUCCCCGUGUCCACAGUGUCUGUGCUGGAUGAGCACAUCAGCCACUACCCACACCUAGAGGAUCCCCUGGGAUUCCUGAAUGCCUACCUGAACUUCAUCAACUCCUUCUGAGCUGCUGCAGAUCCGUGCUCACAGCAGGAAAAAACAUUGAUUUUCUCUCCCCAACCCAACACUGUGCUCACAGCCUCAUCCUGGGCUGCCAAAUGGAGUGAAAGCCUUGGAGAGCUGGAAAAAUGAGGGGGAAAGCAGGGUUCUGACAGCUCCUCCAGCCCUGCACUCCCCUUCUUGCCCAGCUGAACUCAGCAGAGGUUUAAAUCAAUGCAAAAUCAGAAUUUCUUGCUUCCUUCAUCAGCCUGACUUGGGAAGGAACGACCUCUUCAUCAGCAGGGAGAGGAGGAGCUCCCUCACAAAUCCCUCCAUCCCCUUCCCUUCCCAGUUCUCCCAGUUUGAACCCAGGUUUGGUUAUUACCUGACAUAAAGCUCAGAGAAUUGAAUCUGCCUCAAGAGAUGGAGUUUAAUCUCUCUCUGUACAUUGAUUUUUCUGUGUGGAAGAAGAGACAGUCACAAAAAUAUUGCAAAUCUGGAGGUGUGGGAUGGUUUUUAACUGUUUAUGUUGGGAAUUUAAUAGCCUCCCUUUAGGAAUAAGGGGUUUUUGCUUAUGGGAUAUUUUUUCUGUACUGGAGCAGACAGAAUAAGAACAAAAAAAAAAAUCUAUUUUAUUAACAGUAAUUCAUAUGAAUUCCACCACUUGAACCAGUGUUUAUUUUCUGUUAAUAAAAAGCAAUUUUGACAAAAAUCUGA